AUUGAACGCUGGCGGCAGGCUUAACACAUGCAAGUCGAGCGGGGUGAUGGUGCUUGCACUAUCACUUAGCGGCGGACGGGUGAGUAAUGCUUAGGAAUCUGCCUAUUAGUGGGGGACAACAUCUCGAAAGGGAUGCUAAUACCGCAUACGUCCUACGGGAGAAAGCAGGGGAUCACUUGUGACCUUGCGCUAAUAGAUGAGCCUAAGUCGGAUUAGCUAGUUGGUGGGGUAAAGGCCUACCAAGGCGACGAUCUGUAGCAGGUCUGAGAGGAUGCUCCGCCACACUGGGACUGAGACACGGCCCAGACUCCUACGGGAGGCAGCAGUGGGGAAUAUUGGACAAUGGGGGGAACCCUGAUCCAGCCAUGCCGCGUGUGUGAAGAAGGCCUUAUGGUUGUAAAGCACUUUAAGCGAGGAGGAGGCUCUUUUGGUUAAUACCCAAGAUGAGUGGACGUUACUCGCAGAAUAAGCACCGGCUAACUCUGUGCCAGCCGCCGCAGUAA
rnacentral:rRNA from 1 species